rnacentral:rRNA from 1 species
AUGGCCGGAGAAGGGGAUCUGAAGCUGCUGGGGCUGCUGGUGAGCCCGUUCGUGACCCGCGUCCGCCUGGCGCUGCACAUCAAGGGCCUGAGCUACGAGUACAUCGAGACGGACGUGCUGGACAAGGGCGAGCUCCUCCUCCGAUACAACCCCGUCCACAAGAAGGUGCCCGUGCUCAUCCACAACGGCCUGCCGCUCUGCGAGUCACAGAUCAUCGUGCAGUACGUCGACGAAGUCUGGGCCGCCGCCGGCGCGCCCAUCCUCCCCGCCGACCCCUACGCCCGCGCCACCGCCCGCUUCUGGGCCGCCUACGUCGACGACAAGCUGUUCCCCGCCUGGCUGGGCAUCCUCUUGGCCCCGACCGAGGCGGCGAGGGCGGAGAAGGUCGGCGAGACGCUCGCCGCGCUCGCGCAGCUGGAGGUGGCCGCGGCCGAGUGCCUGGACGGCGGCAGGAGGCCCUUCUUCGCCGGCGACUCCAUCGGCUUCCUCGACCUCGCCGUCGGCUGCAACAUGUUCUGGAUGGAGGCGCUGCGCAGGAUGUUCGGCGUGACUUUCCUCGACGCGGGGAAGACCCCGCUGCUGGUCGCGUGGGCGGAGCGGUUCGCGGGCACCGAGGCGGCGACGGCGGUGGUGCCGGACCCGGACGCCGCGGUGGCGUUCGCCAGGAAGCUUCAGGCCAAAUAUGGUGCCGCCCCGCCAGCCAACUAG